CUCCACCCAGUUGGAGCUUCCAGGCUGCUUUGUUUACCGAAUCAAGCCUGGGCAAUGGCGGGCGCCCCUCCCCCAGCCUCGCUGCCGCCUUGCAGUUUGAUCUCAGACUGCUGUGCUAGCAAUCAGCGAGACUCCGUGGGCGUAGGACCCUCCGAGCCAGGUGCAGGACAUAAUCUCGUGAUGAGCCUUUUUUAAGCCUGUCGGAAAAGCGCAGUAUUCAGGUGGGAGUGACCCGAUUUUCCAGGUGCCGUCCGACACCCCUUUCUUUGACUAGGAAAGGGAACUCCCUUACCCCUUGGGCUUCCUGAGUGAGGCAAUGCCUCGCCCUGCUUCGGCUCGCGCACGGGGUGCGCACCCACUGACCUGCACCCGCUGUCUGGCACUCCCUGGUGAGAUGAACCCGGUACCUCAGAUGGAAAUGCUGAAAUCACCCGUCUUCUUCGUCGCUCACGCUGGGAGCUGCAGACAGGAGCUGUUCCUAUGUGGCCAUCUUGGCUCCUCCCUAUGAACUCUUUUUUACAGAUGGCUAUUAGAAGAGCAACCAACGGAGAUUCAUGGCGAGAGAAAGUGGGCUGGGAGUACUGGCAGCUCCUCUGAUAAUUCAGGAGGGCUCCCUGGAUG
rnacentral:lncRNA from 1 species